CGAAGCAACGCGAAGAACCUUACCAGGCCUUGACAUGCAGAGAACUUUCCAGAGAUGGAUUGGUGCCUUCGGGAACUCUGACACAGGUGCUGCAUGGCUGUCGUCAGCUCGUGUCGUGAGAUGUUGGGUUAAGUCCCGUAACGAGCGCAACCCUUGUCCUUAGUUACCAGCACGUUAUGGUGGGCACUCUAAGGAGACUGCCGGUGACAAACCGGAGGAAGGUGGGGAUGACGUCAAGUCAUCAUGGCCUUUAUGACCAGGGCUACACACGUACUACAAUGGCCGAUACAAAGGGCAGCGACACUGCGAGGUGAAGCCAAUCCCGUAAAAUCGGUCUCAGUCCGGAUUGGAGUCUGCAACUCGACUCCAUGAAGUUGGAAUCGCUAGUAAUCGUGGAUCAGCAUGCCACGGUGAAUACGUUCCCGGGCCUU
rnacentral:rRNA from 1 species